CCAAGCCCGGGAUUUACGGGAAAUCGCGGGUUUUCGUUUGCCGGCGAUUUAACAACUUUCAUUAAGCGUCUCAUCAAAAAUGAAAACAUUUCUGAAAACUACAAGUCUCAUGCGUUUUAGUGGUGAAAAUUAAUUUAAAAACUCGUUCGGGAAAUGAGUUUACUCCCUGGGUACUUUCUUUAUAUACUUUUGACUAUACGGGUUGAGUCCGGGAUUUACGGGAAGUCGCGGGUUUUCGUUUGCCGGCAAUUAAACUUCUUUUAUUCAGCGUCUCAUCAAAAAUGAAAACAUUUUUAAAAACUACAAUCUCAUGGGCUUUAGUGGUGAAAAAAUAAUUUAAAAAAUCGUUCGGGAAAUGAGUUUACUCCCUGGGUACUUUCUUUGUAUACUUUUGACUAUACGGGCUGAGUCCGGGAUUUACGGGAAGUCGCGGGUUUUCGUUUGCCGGCGAUUAAACUUCUUUUAUUCAGCGUCUCAUCAAAAAUGAAAAUAUUUUUAAAUACUACAAGUCUCAUGGGCUUUAGUGGUGAAAUAAUAAUUUAAAAAAUCGUUCGGGAAAGGAGUUUACACCCUGGGUACUUUCUUUGUAUAUUUUUGACUAUACGGGCCGACUCGGGAUUUACGGAAAAUCGCAGGUUUUCGUUUGCCGGCGAUUAAACUUCUUUUAUUCAGAGUCUCAUCAAAAAUGAAAACAUUUUUGAAAACUACAAGUCUCAUGCGUUUUAGUGGUGAAAAAAAAAUUUAAAAAAUCGUUCGGGAAAUGAAGUUACUCUCUGGGUACUUUCUUUGUAUACAUUCGACUAUACGGGCCAAGCCCGGGAUUUACGGGAAAUCGCGGGAUUUUGUUUGCCGGCGAUUAAACCUCUUUUAUUAAGGGUCUCAUCAAAAAUGAAAACAUUUCUGAAAACUACAAGUCUCAUGCGUUUUAGUGGUGAAAAUUAAUUUAAAAAAUCUUUCGGGAAAUGAGUUUACUCCCUGGGUACUUUCUUUGUAUACUUUUGACUAUACGGGCCGAGUCCGGGAUUUACGGGAAAUCGCGGUUUUUCGUUUGCCGGCGAUUAAACCACUUUUAUUAAGCGUCUCCUCAAAAAUGAAAACAUUUCUAAAAACUACAAGUCUCAUACGUUUUAGUGGUGAAAAAAUAAUUUAAAAAUUCGUUCGGGAAAUGAGUUUACUCACAGGGUACUUUCUUUGUAUACAUUCGACUAUACGGGCCAAGCCCGGGAUUUACGGGAAAUCGCGGGUUUUCGUUUGCCGGCGAUUUAACAACUUUCAUUAAGCGUCUCAUCAAAAAUGAAAACAUUUCUGAAAACUACAAGUCUCAUGCGUUUUAGUGGUGAAAAUUAAUUUAAAAACUCGUUCGGGAAAUGAGUUUACUCCCUGGGUACUUUCUUUAUAUACUUUUGACUAUACGGGUUGAGUCCGGGAUUUACGGGAAGUCGCGGGUUUUCGUUUGCCGGCAAUUAAACUUCUUUUAUUCAGCGUCUCAUCAAAAAUGAAAACAUUUUUAAAAACUACAAUCUCAUGGGCUUUAGUGGUGAAAAAAUAAUUUAAAAAAUCGUUCGGGAAAUGAGUUUACUCCCUUGGUACUUUCUUUGUAUACUUUUGACUAUACGGGUUGAGUCCGGGAUUUACGGGAAGUCGCGGGUUUUCGUUUGCCGGCGAUUAAACUUCUUUUAUUCAGCGUCUCAUCAAAAAUGAAAAUAUUUUUAAAUACUACAAGUCUCAUGGGCUUUAGUGGUGAAAUAAUAAUUUAAAAAAUCGUUCGGGAAAGGAGUUUACACCCUGGGUACUUUCUUUGUAUACUUUUGACUAUACGGGCCGACUCGGGAUUUACGGAAAAUCGCAGGUUUUCGUUUGCCGGCGAUUAAACUUCUUUUAUUCAGAGUCUCAUCAAAAAUGAAAACAUUUUUGAAAACUACAAGUCUCAUGCGUUUUAGUGGUGAAAAAAAAAUUUAAAAAAUCGUUCGGGAAAUGAAGUUACUCUCUGGGUACUUUCUUUGUAUACAUUCGACUAUACGGGCCAAGCCCGGGAUUUACGGGAAAUCGCGGGAUUUUUUUUGCCGGCGAUUAAACUUCUUUUAUUCAGCGUCUCAUCAAAAAUGAAAACAUUUUUGAAAACUGCAAGUCUCAUGCGUUUUAGUGGUGAAAAAAAUUUUUAAAAAAUCGUUCGGGAAAUGAAGUUACUCUCUGGGUACUUUCUUUGUAUACAUUCGACUAUACGGGCCAAGCCCGGGAUUUACGGGAAAUUGCGGGUUUUCGUUUGCCGGCGAUUUAACAACUUUCAUUAAGCGUCUCAUCAAAAAUGAAAACAUUUCUGAAAA